rnacentral:miRNA from 1 species
ACCAGUCUAAGUAUUGUUUGGACU